rnacentral:rRNA from 1 species
AUGGGCGCAGUCGGAGCAGAGAGUCGGGGCGUAGGAGAUGAGGAGAACGACGUAGGCUUCAUGAUGGAAGGAGAUACGGCAGCGGACAAGGAGGAGGUCGGGGGUUACACGAAGGUACAGGUGGAUGUCAGCAACCUGCCCCCUACGACGUCGAUGAUUGGCAUACUUGCUGAGAAGGUUACAACUGUAGGUAAGGCAUCAAACUGUAUGUCUCAAAUUAAGGCCCCUAGCUAG